rnacentral:lncRNA from 1 species
AUGGGACAAAGUUGGUGCUUCAUCAUCAUCAUCUCUGUGUUUCUGCUGUAUAUCUCAGGUGCUUUCUCUGAUCCUGUGAGGGUAAAAGUUGAGGGUUUUGUUGGAGACUCAGCUAUCUUGUCUUGUUCCAUCCCUGAAAAUGAGAUUCAAGACAAAAUAGAAAAAUUACACGUAAUCUGGAGAGACGAUAAAGGCAAGAAAGUGUGUGACAUCAUUGGAGGCAGCAUAGCUGAAGACCAAGAGCCAGAGUACAAGGUCAGAGUCGAAACGUUCCCAGAGGAGUAUAAGAAGGGCAACUUCUCCAUCAAACUCAGCAGUCUUCAAAAAAAUGAUGCAAGGAAGUUCCACUGUUACAUAACAAGGGACACAUUUCAGAAAGAGGUCAUCACAGAGCUUCAUGUCAGAGAUAAACCAGAAGGAAGAGGAAACCAUGGAGCACUAUCGUUGAUUGUGUUGUUGAUCAGUUUUCUUUUCACUCACAUUUUGCCAUUUAUCUGAACAAUAUUUUAUUCAGUUCUGUAAGUGUUGCACGGUUGAGUACAGAUCUGAUCAAUCAGCCAAAGUACAGUAUGGUCAUUGUGUGUAAAUUUCACUCUACAUUUCAGAAAAUAACAUGUUGAUCCUUGGUUUUUCAGUCAUUACAUUACAUUACAUUACAUACAUUAUUCCAUUCCAUUCAUUUUGUUCAUCUUAGUCAUUGCACAACUUGGCAAACCUUGUAUGCAUCAGUGUUUAUACUAAAGAUGUAACAGUUUCAGUCAUUGUCAUUUCUGUCAGUCGUGUGUGCAAUUAAAACUAUAUAACAUCAACCCUGUUAAUAAACUGAAAAAUAAAAUAUUUUACAUAUCUGACUAAGCCUCACUUUACUUGUGUUGCAUGUAAGUCAUGAAACAUUUGGAUUACAAAAAAUUACAGCUAGUUGCCAGAGCAACAUUUCUCAUUUGAAUUUGUACAUACAUGAAAGAUUAAAAAACCAUUAACAAUAACAAACAUAGUAAUAAAACUUUAAAAUUAAAUCUAAUACAGAAAACAUAUUUAUUAGUAUUCAAAAUCUUAACUAAAUUAAUUAUUAAUAAUAUUCCAGUAAAUCUUAAAUGGCACUGAAUGUUUGUCAAUAAAUUUGCCACAUAGCACUUCAUCAAAUAUCAAAUACUGAUAAAUGUUGACUCAUAUAGAGAAGGUGCACUUAGAAAAGAGUAGUUUUGACAAAUAUUUUUAAAUGUAAAAUAAUGCAUGCUUAUUAUAAGAUGUAAGUGGCUUAGAAAAACUGCUUUACUACAACGUGUUGCAAAAUGGAGGCUGUCUUGUUGAGAUCGUUUGACCAGAUGAACUUAUUUUUAUCUCAGUAACCCCCCAAUGACUCUACAGUUUCAGUUGUGGAAGGUAGAAAGAUAAAAUGGAGCAAGGACUACUCUUAACACAAGACAUGAAUUGUUUUGCUUCUGGUUAUUUUGCUUUAUAAUCUGCUAUUUUGUUUGUCCAACUGGUUAUUAAUAGUAUUAUUUUAUAAUCUGGUUGGUUGUCAGACUUUU